UCCGAGCCAUCAGCCCAGAGCCUGACGCGGGGCUCGAACUCACGGACCGCGAGAUCGUGACCUGGCUGAAGUCGGACGCUUAACCGACUGCGCCACCCAGGCGCCCCUCAGCCAAGUAUUUCAAGGGAAUGAGGAAUCGAGGGGUCAGGCCUGUUUCCCCGCCCCUGAGAAGGGGCCCCAAUGAUCAGUAGUUUGUGAGUUCCAGUAUCUGUUGCGUCUUUCCCCGCCCACUCCCGUCCGCGGCCAAUGUAGAGCGCUCCAGCCCAGGAAGACAGGCGCCGCUGAUUGGAGGCAGAGCAUCGGUCCCGGUUUGCGACCAACUGCGGGUGAGCUGUGUCCCUCGCAGUCCACCCUGGGCACAGCUGCAGUUCUCUCUCUUUCCUUCGCUGGAUGCAAGCCUGGGCCGGAGACGAGCCCUGCCCUGCGCGCUGCCGCGAUCAGCUGCGUAGCUGGGAAGCGGUGGGUUGGGGAGAGGCCGCGCGGUUCGGUCUUCCUUCCGCUGGGGCCGCUCGUGGACCGUUGAUGAGCCUAGAACUAACCCUCGGUCCGAAAUCUGACAGAGGCUGCGAACCCGCGAACCCACAGGGCCGGCUUCACAGGUGCACGCGCUGACAACUGAGCUAUCGGGAUGAUUUCAGCGCUUCCGCGUGCGUCAGCGGCAGAACAAGGAGGGAGAGACGUGUCGUGGUGGCUCGUUGGUCUAGGGGUAUGAUUCUCGCUUUGGGUGCGAGAGGUCCCGGGUUCAAAUCCCGGACGAGCCCCCCUCCGUUUUCCCCGUCCGCGUUUUCAGCGGAGACGGCACCCACCAGGCUGAGGCUCCUGGUGGCACAGUCCGCGUGGGACCUAGGGAGCCGUGAGACGCACAUGGUCUGUAUCUCGCGUGGCUGGGAAUCCGCGGCACCGAGGUUAAAGGAGACCACUCCGGGAAGUAAGAGGUUAUCUAAAGUAAGGCAAAGUGCAUCGUUGGUUCUUCUGGGGGUACAGAUGAUCCCCGCUGGAGUCUCAGGUGAGUCCUACCCUUAACUUGAUUUUUUUUUGGGGGGGGGGAGGGAGGAAGGGAGAGAGGGAGCGACACCCUGGAUUCCGUGGGCAGAAUUUCAUUCCCCCGGGCUUGCCCAGAUGACAGCUCAAGGAAAUGCGCGCCAUGGAUGGGGAGGGGUGGUGGUUAGGUGGUCAGACAGCACAAAGCGAACCCGCUAGCCCAGAUCUGCCGGGUCCUCGGGGGGUGGGUCGCGCCUGGACACGGGGAGGGACACAGAGACAGCAGAGUGCUGGGAACCCGACCCCCGAUCCCUGGACGCAGUCCUUUUGCCCCGAGGGCGGUGUCCUCAUCCUCCCCACCACCUGAGGACCUGAAGACCCUCCUCCCGCCCCUGCUGAGCCGGGGAGGGCAUCCCUGAGCCGCCCCGGUGCGGGGUCUGGUUGAUGGUCUGAUCCACCCCCCUCCAGGGGCCAGCCCUUCCGGGCCGAGGUCACCGUAGGGCAGGAAGGUCGCUGGCCACCUGGUUUAGUCAGCUUCGUGGGUUAUAGGCUCCACGUCGGAAACUCGAUGUCUUGGUUUGAUCUUGCCAGGGGCGGGAGAGGGGAGAGCAGCCGGGAGGAGCUCCUGCAGAGUGACCACAGGGCGGCGCGGGGACGCACGGACCCCCUGCCCGGCUGGCCGCCCUUGCGCGCCAGGGGCGGAGCGCGAGCGGAAUCGGCGGAGGCCACCUUGUUGCGGGCACGCAGGAACCGCUCCCCACUUUAUGGGCGCAGGGAGUGUUAGGUUCCCUCCACGGCCGUGGAUCCCAACCUCUAGCCCUUCUCCACGGAUCUGAAACCGAUUCCCCUCCCCGCGCUGCUCCGCCGUUCCGGCCCCGGACGCCCUAUCGGUCACAAAGAGGAGAUUGGACACGAGCUGCAGCAGGGCUCGUUGGUCUAGGGGUAUGAUUCUCGCUUAGGGUGCGAGAGGUCCCGGGUUCAAAUCCCGGACGAGCCCUUCUUUUUGUCUCCCCGUGGAUCGGAGAGCUGGCCCGAGACCCCCACCCCCAAUCCCGCGCCAGGCUCCACCGGGGGAGGGAAGCUUAAAAAGGCCUCAAGCUGGCUCAGUGCCACCCACCGCUGCCUUUAAAAUUUAAUUGGGGCCCAGUCGCCAAAGCGUUGAUAGAGCCAUGUCUCUAAAUGCUGCUUUGUCGGUCGGAAUUGGAGGCACCGGGGUGGGAGAAAGAUGUCCUUCCUUCCUGUGCACCAGGACGCCUUUGGCGCGGCCAGGCGGGGCCCCAGCGCGGUCCCGGGCUCAGGAGUGCGGGAGCUUGAGGACUGGCCAUGGACUUCUGGUAUUUGCAGCGUGGCCGGAGGGACCCCCAGACGCCGAGCCCUUCCCCCCACACGUGGGCGUGGCCUCCUGGGGCUCUCCCCGCAGCCCCUGCCCUGGUCCCUGCCUUGGUCCCUGCCCCAGCCGGGUCCCCUCCCCACUUUUCUGCAGCUCCGGCUGUGUGUGGAUGGGGGUCGCCUUCGCAGCGUGAGAAACGGACCGGGUCCUGCCAACACGACGAAGCUUGAAAACCUAAGCAUUUGAAGAAUAGUGGGCGUAUUGGUCUGAGACCGUGAACUCACUCGUUGCCCCAUCAGCUAAAAGGUCAAACAGAUGUUAACACUUUAAAACUGUAUUAGAGAAUAGUAUGUUGCACGUGUGACUAAGCCCGACCGACCACGUUCAAGAGCUCUACAAGGGUGGAAGCUGUUCUGCAGAAGCUUGAGGCGGGGAUGCUCCAGGUGCCAAAUUCCUAUGAAACACUCCCUCAGUGGGGAAGGCACCUUUCCUCCCAGUACCGGACCCGAAAGGAAAGUGGGACUCAGGGGACAGGGAUGAACUCCUCCAGCCUUUCCCUGCUCGUCCAGAUGCCUUCAGCAUGUGUGGAAACAAGAGUGCCAUGGUGUGCCAGGACCUUCUGCCUCUUAGAGGAUCCGAAGGAUGUUACACCGGAGAGAAGGAAGCAAAAGAAUGCGGUGGUGGAGAGGACCGUGGUGUUGGACAACUGUUAGUGGCACCGUCUUCCUUUUUGUUGAGGAUGGUGAGUUUGAGAGCGCACUAUGAACCAAGGAUCAUGAACAAUCCAAUUCUGUGUACUUGAGGUCCGAUUGGGGAAAAAAACACAAAACCCUCAAGUAGAAGAUUUAAUUUAAAGUGACCCAUGAAUGGUAAGUCCUUGAGCCCCUGGCUGAAAUCAACAACAAUUUUCUGUGCAGACACACUUUUAUUCUAGGUCUCACAGAAUUCCAUACAUCAAGAAAUUUAGAAGGGAAAUGGGCAAGUCACAAAACAAACAAGAACAACAAGGAAAUAAGGCACCAUGAGCAACAACCAGUGAACAACAAGCAAUGGAAAUAAAAUUGCCAAGAUUUCAGAUGCUAAGAUUGGAAGACACAGAUCAUAAUACAACUAAUCUUACUAUGCAUAAACUAAUGGAAGACUAAUUAAAAUAUCUUUGAGAACAGAAGCUAUGUAAAAUGCUCUAGAAGAUUGAAAAAGAUGUAAAUUCCUCUAAAAAUAAAAAUACAUAAAAAGUGAAACAAAAUUCAAUAGAUGUAUCUAACAGCUUAAAAAGGUGCAGAAAUAGUAAAUGAAAAAUAGGUCAAAAUAUAUACCACAAAACCCAAAAAAAUCCCAAUAUGAUUACAGAUUAAGCAACACACUUUAGAAGUUCCAUGAUUAAAGAACAAAUUACAAAGAAAGUUCGAAGAAAUACAUACUUUGAAAUAAAUGAUGGUGAAAAUACUGUAUACCAAAACCUGUAAGACCUAGCUAAAGCAGAGGUUGAUAGUCUUAGAUGCAUGUAAUAGAAAAGAAAGUUUGAAUACUAAUGUCAAGAAGUUAGAAAAAGAACAGCAAAAAUAAACCCAAAGAAGUUAGAACAAGGGAAAAAAUAAUAAGAUAGGAAAUCAGUGAACUAGAAAACAAGCAUACUAUAGAGAUUAAUGACAAAUCCUGAAGCAGAUCUUGAAAAAAAAAACAGUUAUUGAUAAAACUUUGCAAAAACUGAUUACAAAAUAAAGGAAGAAGACACACAACCCAUAUCAGGGAUAAGAAUGACUUCACAGUCAUUACAUAACUUAAAAGCAUAUGCUAAACAGCUUUGUGAAAAUUUAGAAAAAUACAUAAUCCUUUGAAUUAAAAAGCAUGCCUUGUG